rnacentral:rRNA from 1 species
GUGCCAGCAGCCGCGGUAACACGUAGGGCGCAAGCGUUGUCCGGAAUUAUUGGGCGUAAAGAGCUCGUAGGCGGUCUGUUGCGUCCGCUGUGAAAACUCGGGGCUUAACCCCGAGCCUGCAGUGGAUACGGGCAGACUAGAGGUAGGUAGGGGAGAAUGGAAUUCCCGGUGUAGCGGUGAAAUGCGCAGAUAUCGGGAGGAACACCGGUGGCGAAGGCGGUUCUCUGGGCCUUACCUGACGCUGAGGAGCGAAAGCGUGGGGAGCGAACAGGAUUAGAUACCCCCGUAGUCC